GCGCAGCAGGCACGAAACCUCUACAAUGUGCGAAAGCAUGAUAGGGGGACUCCAAGUGUCUCUCUAAAGAGAGACUUUUGUAGUAUGUAAAAAGUACUACGAAUAAGGGGUGGUCAAGACUAGUGCCAGCCUCCGCGGUAACACUAGCAGCCCGAGUGGUAGUCAUUUUUAUUUGGCUUAAAGCGUCCGUAGUCUGAUUAGUAAGUUCUCUGUGAAAUCCUGUUGCUUAACAAUAGGGCUUGCAGAGAAUACUACCAAUCUUGGAGCCAGGAGGGGUUAGGGGUAUUCCGGGGGUAGCGGUGAAAUGCUAUAAUCCCCGGAGGACCACCAAUGGCGAAGGCACCUAACUGGAAUGGGCCCGACGAUGAGGGACGAAAGC
rnacentral:rRNA from 1 species